AACGAACGCUGGCGGCAGGCCUAACACAUGCAAGUCGAGCGCCCCGCAAGGGGAGCGGCCGACGGGUGAGUACCGCGUGGGAACGUACCUUUUGGUUCGGAACAACUCCGGGAAACUGGAGCUAAUACAGGAUAAGCCAUAACGGGGAAAGAUUUAUCGCCGAAAGAUCGGCCCGCGUCUGCUUAGCCAGUUGGUGGGGUAACGGCUCACCAAGGCGACGAUCGGUAGCUGGUCUGAGAGGAUGAUCAGCCACACUGAGACUGAGACACGGCCCAGACUCCUGCGGGAGGCAGCAGUGGGGAAUAUUGGACAGUGGGCGCAAGCCUGAUCCAGCCAGGCCGCGUGAGUGAUGAAGGCCUUAGGGUUGUAAAGCUCUUUUGUCCGGGAAGAUAAUGACGGUACCGGAAGAAUAAGCCCCGGCUAACUUCGUG
rnacentral:rRNA from 1 species